UACGUAGGUGGCAAGCGUUUGUCCGGAUUUACUGGGCGUAAAGAGCGCGCAGGCGGUCGUUCAAGUCGCGUGUGAAAGCCCCCGGCUCAACUGGGGAGGGUCACGCGAUACUGAUCGACUCGAAGGCAGGAGAGGGUAGUGGAAUUCCCGGUGUAGUGGUGAAAUGCGUAGAUAUCGGGAGGAACACCAGUGGCGAAGGCGGCACUCUGGGCCGGUACUGACGCUGAGGAGCGAAAGCGUGGGGAGCAAACAGG
rnacentral:rRNA from 1 species